CUCCAAUUCAGAGACAGGCUGGCACAGUUCAUCUUUAUUAGCCAACAAAUAUCUGAAUUAUGGGUGAGUUGGUUUGGCCCAUGGUAAGGGCAGUGAUCCAAGAACAAAUCCCAGCAGAAUGGAAAAGUUGUUAAUGAAGCUUUUAAAAAACAUUCUUCCAUGUACACACAAUGUAAUAUCGGUAGAAUUAUCUUCGGAUAUGAAGCACAAGCGAAGACCAUAGAGGUUAGCAGUACCCAGGAGAAAAAAUAUUUUGGCAGACUGGGAACAGAUCGAAUAACUUACCUUUUUUUGAUUUUCUGCAGGACGUUUGAGGCUCCUGGCAAUGAGGAUCUUCCUACAAUGGGUGCAACAAAUUCCUGGGCCUUCCAGAGGUUCUGGAUGCAAAUUAAGUUGCUUCUCAGCUUCCCCCACUGCUGGCUGAUGGUUGAGAUUUCCUGCAUCUUCCAGGUCCUAGUUUUGCCCUUCAAAAGAUACACAAAGAAAAUUGAAUCCCUUCGCCCAUGUCAGUGCUCCACUUAUUUUAGGACAAUUUCCAGGUUGUCUCUAGGACUUUCCCUUUCUGUGCUAUGAAAUGAGGCCUGAGGACACGUGCCGAGUGCCUACGGGCUGCUUGAGACGGGAGAUACCUUUUGUCCAUUCAUUCUUCAUCUCAUGCUGACUGAAGCCUUAAUGCCACUCACUCCACACAAUGGCGCCUGCCUGGAGAACUGGGUGAGAGGGUCGUUCAUCUUCGUAGUCUCACCCCGUAGCAGGAGGGACUGGCAGAGCCUCCUAGAUGCCACCCCUCCCAGGCAAAGCUUCAGCCUGCACCCCUGGACCAGGGCUAAUAACAUCAGCCACUGGCCACUUGACAUGUUGCUGAGAGAUUUCCCAAACACACAUUCCCAUCUUAGCAAAUUAACUCCAAGAACACAGUGAGGAAGAAGAUAAGUUAAAGGAGAGAUGUCUAAAUGAGAAACUAAACUCGGUCUUCCUGAGACAGCCAGUGCCGACGGCUUGCGCUGGGUGGAAAGGUGAGAUUUCAUCACUGCUUCUCCCCAGGGCUGGCAGGGGCAGAUCAAGUUGCCUCUCACUCCGGCCCCACCCUGAGGAAUGGACUCAUGGACACUGCAGGGCUUUCUCUCCUCUGAUAUCUUUGAGUCAAGGCGCCGUGUUGACCAAGUGGGUCAGAUAAAGGACUACAAAGCCAUUGUCCGAAUUGCCCAGGGAGGAUGUGGCCAACAUUCCUAGGUGUGUUUGGAAAUAUGGCUGAGACAGUAGGUGCCAAGUGAGAGACGCUGGCAAAGUAAGCCUACAUUUGGAGACCAGUGGUUCCCUGCUGUCACAGGGGACUUCGGAAUAAAUCCCUUCCAACCCACUAGCACACACGCUGCCACACACGACCAUAGAUGGUGAAUCCUGCACUCCCAACUCUCUCCCGGUGGCUUCUACAACAGGAUGUUGUUUAUUACAAUAGAAUUAAUCUGCUUUUCCAGAAUUUAGUAAUCCAUCAAUUGACAAACUUCCCUGAUACAUACUUUUAAGAUUCUAGAAAAAUUCAACUCAUUAUUAUACAUUAUUCACUUCCCAAAUCAGUGAAAACUGCAUGUGAUAUGUUAUAACCAUAAAAUUAUUACAUCAAGCACUUAUGGACAAAAGUUAAGUCACAAAAUAGGUGGAAAGAAGAAAACAAUUAUAUUAGAAGACUUAACCUAAGGAAGUAUGAAAUUUAGCUCUGAGCUUCUGCAGUAAAAUAGAAAAGAGGCAGGCGGAUCACUUGAGGUCAGGAGUUCGAGACCAGCCUGGGCAACAUGGUGAAACUCUGUUUCUACUAAAAACACAAAAAUUAGCAGGACGUACUGUUGCAUGCUUGUAAUCCCAGCUAGUUGGGAGGCUGAGACGUGAGAAUCCCUUGAACCCAGGAGGCAGAGGUUGCAGUGAGCGGAGAUCUUGCCACUGCACUCCAGCCUGGGCAACAGAGUGAGACUCUGUCUCAAAAUAAUAAUAAUAAAUAAAUAAAUAAAAUAUAAAAGGGAAUAAAAGCGACAUAUGUGCCAUUAUUUAAUGCAAGAGAGCAUACAAAUUCAUCUGGAGAAGUUGCCUUGAUACAUUUCAAGUAAG
rnacentral:lncRNA from 1 species